UUAAAUGAUGUAGCCGGCGUCCCCAAGCCAACCCAAGCCAUUCAGUUACAGUGUGAAUGUCUGAUCGAUAAGAGGAGCUAUUCAGCGGAGAGCUGAAGCAAAAAUAAAAAGAGAUUUGUUCGAUUUCCCAUUUGCCGCCGCCCGCCCGUCGCCUGCUGCCAUCACGUCGUUUCAUGCAUCAAAAAUUUAAGUGCUCUUCUUACACCACGUUGCCACCACCACGCUGCCGCCACAUAUUGUCUGCCUCCGGUGUCGUUGUCGUCAUUUGCCACACCACGUUCCUUCCAGCCACCACGUUGUUCCCGCCAGCCACCACCAUCAUCACGCUAAAAUAAUUCCUGUGCCAUCACGUUGCCACCACCACGCUGCCGCCACAUCCGCCACAUUAUUGUCUGCCUCCGCUGUCGUCGUCAUUUGCCACACCACGU